rnacentral:misc_RNA from 1 species
UCCGGUUUGUCACCGGCAGUCUCCCUAGAGUUCUCAGCCGAACUGCUAGCAACUAGGGAUAGGGGUUGCGCUCGUUACGGGACUUAACCCAACAUCUCACGACACGAGCUGACGACGGCCAUGCAGCACCUGUCUUACAGUUCCCGAAGGCACCAAUCCAUCUCUGGAAAGUUCUGUAGAUGUCAAGGCCAGGUAAGGUUCUUCGGUUUAGUAAAGUCCAGUUUUUGGCCUUAUCUUGCAGGUGACGACGACGUCGAGUUGGCGGCGGAGAAAGACUCGGCAUUCAGGUGAGCCGCCCGGUGGUGUGGUACGUAGUGGGUUUAGUACGCCCCGCCAAAACGGCUCCGAAACAAACGAAAAGGUGCAUGCCGCACUCAC